CUCACCUGUGUGGUCCUGCUUUAUCCGAGUACUCACCUGUGUUGUCCUGCUCCAUUCUAGCACUCACCUGUGUGGUCCUGCUUCAUCCGAGUACUCACCUGUGUUGUCCUGCUCCUUCCUAGUACUCAUCUGUGUGGUCCUGCUUCAUCCGAGUACUCACCUGUGUUGUCCUGCUCCUUCCUAGUACUCAUCUGUGUGGUCCUGUAAAGCUCUAGUCUAGUACUUACCUGUGUGGUUCUGCUCCAUCCUAGUACUCACCUGUGUGGUCCUGCUCCUUCCUAGUAGUCACCUGUGUGGUCCUGUAAAGCUCUAGUACUUACCUGUGUUGUCAUCCUCCUGCAAAAAAUAACACUUUUUGUUCUUGUACAUCUGAGUCAUGUUUCAUACACUACAUAUUUAGGCUUGAGGCGUGUGAGCACCCCUAAAUCAGGUGGAAUGAAGCUUGAGACUUGGCUUUGGUUUUCACUUGCCAUUAAUAAUUUAGUAUUAAUAUAUAUUUAUUCUUUCUCUUGUUUUUAGGAAAACCUGCACAUGAGUCCCCCUGCACAAGAGUGAAGUCAAAAAUUGAUCUAAACUGGAGUUUAUCUGAUUUGAAUAAUUUCAUAUGUCAAAGUUAUCCAAAAUUUAACUUAAAUUUAGUGGGGUUUCAAUUGGCACGGACUGGGAAGGGAAGGAAGAUACAAAUACUAAAAGUGGCCUCAGUACAAGAACUAAAGAAAUCAGUGGGGAAAAGCCGACUUUACAUCAUCCCACAGGGCCCCAUUUUGCAGAUUACUCAGACUACUCCAUCCGAUGAACCAGUCUGUGUUGAUGAACCAGUCUCUGCUGAUGAACCAGUCUGUGUUGAUGAACCAAUCUCUAUUGAUGAACCAAUCUCUGUUGACGAGACAGUGAGUCCCCCAAGGGAAGUUCGGGAUCAGGCUUUGCAAGAAUGGAGAAGGUUAAGAGAAGAACAGGACAGAGACUACAAUCAAUCUUUAAUUGCUGAUCAAGAAAGCAGAAGGAGGAGGUUGGCUUUUGAGGAAGAUGAGAAAAACCGUCUUAAGGCAAUUGAGGCGAGGCGCCAGCGUAUGGCCUUGUUGUUGGAGCCAACAGGUGGUGUCCCAUUAAAAUUUAAAUAUCCUGAUGGGCACAUAAAACAACGAAGGUUC